rnacentral:tmRNA from 1 species
GGGGAUGUAAUGGUCUCGACGUGGUCGGAUGGGGCAUGAAUAGCGAGCCGGGGGGUCAUCAUCCCGUUAGUAAGGUGAAACUUUUAUUAAAUAUAAAAGCUAACGAAGACUACGCUUUAGCCGCUUAAGGCUACCCCUGUCCAGCUUUUUCCCGCGGGGCAGGAUAAGGGGACAAUAGCGGGAUACCUGAGGGCUGAUGCUCAGAGGCCUGACUGGGAACUCUAAGCGAGCUCGGUGCGCUGCAGCCUGCCGGUGGGCGGCGGCAAACCUAAAGCAAAACAUACGGCUGCGCUCGGAGAGGUUCAUGUGACAACGGCUGCGGACAGGAGUUCGAUUCUCCUCAUCUCCACCA